UGGCACCACUGUUUUCCAAAGUCGCCUAAGAGUAGAUUUUAGUGGCUAUGCUUAUGAGACAGAUGAAAGGUGCUGUGAUCAGAAGAGGGAGGGCUUCUCAGCAGAAGAAUUAAAG
ensembl:snoRNA